GUGAGUCAUCGAAUCUUUGAACGCACAUUGCGCCCAUUAGUAUUCUAGUGGGCAUGCCUGUUCGAGCGUCAUUACAACCCUCAAGCGCUGUAGUGCUUGGUGUUGGGGCUUCCGCUGGUUGACAGCAGGCCCUGAAAGCUAGUGGCGGGCUCGCCGUGACCCUGAGCGUAGUAAUUUACACCUCGCUUCUGUGGCUCUCGGCGGGUUCCCAGCCGUGAAACCCCCAAAUUUUCACAAGGUUGACCUCGGAUCAGGUAGGAAUACCCGCUGAACUUAAGCAUAUCAAUAAGCGGAGGA
rnacentral:misc_RNA from 1 species